AUUGAACGCUGGCGGCAGGCCUAACACAUGCAAGUCGAGCGAGCGGCGGACGGGUGCGUAAUGUCUGGGAAACUGCCUGAUGGAGGGGGAUAACUACUGGAAACGGUAGCUAAUACCGCAUACCAUCAGAUGUGCCCAGAUGGGAUUAGCGAGUAGGUGGGGUAACGGCUCACCUAGGCCACGAUCCCUAGCUGGUCUGAGAGGAUGACCAGCGACACUGGAACUGAGAAACGGUCCGGAUUCCUACGGGAGGCACAGGUGGGGAAUAUUGCACAAUGGGCGCAAGCCUGAUACAGCCGUGACGCGUGUGUGAAAAAGGCCUUCGGGUUGUAAAGCACUUUCAGCGGGGAGGCGUUACCCGCAGAAGAAGCACCGGCUAACUCCGUGCCAGCAGCCGCGGUAAUAC
rnacentral:rRNA from 1 species